rnacentral:rRNA from 1 species
AGUGAACGCUGGCGGUAGGCCUAACACAUGCAAGUCGAACGGCAGCACAGUAAGAGCUUGCUCUUACGGGUGGCGAGUGGCGGACGGGUGAGGAAUACAUCGAAAUCUACUUUUUCGUGGGGGAUAACGUAGGGAAACUUACGCUAAUACCGCAUACGACCUACGGGUGAAAGCAGGGGAUCUUCGGACCUUGCGCGAUUGAAUGAGCCGAUGUCGGAUUAGCUAGUUGGCGGGGUAAAGGCCCACCAAGGCGACGAUCCCUAGCUGGUCUGAGAGGAUGAUCAGCCACACUGGAACUGAGACACGGUCCAGACUCCUACGGGAGGCAGCAGUGGGGAAUAUUGGACAAUGGGCGCAAGCCUGAUCCAGCCAUACCGCGUGGGUGAAGAAGGCCUUCGGGUUGUAAAGCCCUUUUGUUGGGAAAGAAAAGCAGCAGGUUAAUACCCCGCUGUUCUGACGGUACCCAAAGAAUAAGCACCGGCUAACUUCGUG